rnacentral:rRNA from 1 species
UACGGAGGAUGCAAGCGUUCUCCGGAUUUACUGGGUGUAAAGGGAGCGCAGACGGAACUGCAAGUCUGAUGUGAAAGCCCGGGGCUCAACCGCGGGACUGCAUCGGAUACUGUAGAUCUGGAGUGCCGGAGGGGCAAGCGGAAUUCCUGGUGUAGCGGUGAGAUGCGUAGAUAUCAGGAGGAACACCGGCGGCGAAGGCGGCUUGCUGGACGGCAACUGACGUUGAGGCUCGAAAGCGUGGGGAGCAAACAGGAUUA